UUCCAAAGCUUUGCAGUGACGUCAAAGCCCUGCCUAGCUGACUGCUGUUUCUUUGCGUUCGAGCCGACAGCCAAUGCAUUAUUGGUUUUUCCAGGAUCGGAACGAAAACUGCCGAUAAUGUUCCUAAGAAGAAGACAGCAGUGAAAAACGGGCGAUCGAGAGCUUUUACCGUUUUCCUUUCUGUUUUUUUUUUUUUUUCCAUAUUUCGUUAGCUUCUAUAUAUUUCCCCCCCUCCACUGACUGUUUCUUCUACUAACACCACCACCACUCUUUCUCCUCCUUUUUUUUCUUUUUUCGUAACCUCCUUUCCUCUCUCUGCAAUCUCUUUAUCUCCUUCUCUCACUUCGUCUCUCUCAUGUACAAACAGGUGGUUGAUUGAUUGACAUUGGCUAUACCAUCGAACGAAGUCAUUUAGCUAUCACUUCUUCAAAAUAUGGCCGCUCAGUGCUGCUGGUAUGUAAAGAUACGGGUGACCGAAAACAUUCACUUGAUUGCUUUUCAAUGGAUAUAGUAUGUACAUAGGAAAGAUUACGUGAAAAUGUGGAUGUAGCCUUCCAAUUUCUUCACGUGAACUAUGUCCUUAUUGUGUGUAUGUGUUAAAAAAGCAAGGCUAAUUGGAAAUGCUGAGAGAUAUAACACUUAUGUGACACUGAAACUUCAAAAUGUGAAAUCGACGACAAUUCAAGUUAAAGGAAAUAAUCCUAGCUGGGAGCAAGAUUUCAUGUUGUAAGUAUUGAUUUCGUAUAUAUUUUCUUUCUCUCAGUGGAAAUGAAGAUUCAGACAGAAAGGGAAAAAAAAAAAAAAAUUGGGAAAAAAAAAGAGAAGAAAAGGGGAGAUAUAAAACUGCUUCGUUUCUAAGAAUUGCCACGUGUGGAAUAAAGAAGCAACAAAGAAUAAACAAAACAUUUAAAAAACAAGCAAAGAAAACAUGUCUUUUUGUGAGAGAUACCAUAUGUGCUGUAACGGCAUGCAAAAAAGCAGUGAAUAUUUAAUCAAUUAAAACUACACUUGUAAUGAAAAUUAAUUAUUUGUGUUAAUGAUUAAUUUUUAUCGAAGUCUAGAGCGAUGGUUCUCAACUGGUGUUGUUUUUCUCACAGACAGUGCCCAACUGACCCUACUAUACUGUGUAGGCGACAAAAUCAAAAACAAACGAUGCACAUGCAUGAAAUUGAAAAUAUGAAAUGGCGAUGAUUUACCCAUUGCACCCUGCAUGUAUAUAUAUAUAUGU